UUGGGAUUCUUUCUGUAAAAGACUAAAGUCAUUGAAGAGAUGUAGCUGCCUGGGCAGGACACAUGACAGCCCAUAGCACGGGGUCCAAUGCAACAUGUUUGAUCCUUUGCCAUGCACCAAGAUAGAUAACGGAGCCCUAGAAUUUGAUACCGACAUUUCAUAACUGCAGCAUUACUAGAAGAGGAGGAGCAGAGCAGACAGCUGUCCAAGUAGCUGCACGAUCAAGAAUUCAGAGAGUGGACUUCCUUUAGGAAAGAGAAAAAGCUCUAGGAAGUAGUCUUGUAGGAAAUCAUUGACGAUGGAAAGCCGCUGGAUUCCUACACAACAAAUCACUGAAAUGACUGAAGGAAAAGGUGAUUCAAGCCAAUUUAUGGAAUAAACGCCAUCCAGCUGGCUUUGAUGUUGUGGAACAAGAAAACCAGCCAGUAUUUUAUUUCAUGCUGACUUGUAAAUGGUAGAAAAUGCUUUUUGGGGUGGUUAAAGCAACAGAAACAGUACAACUGGCUGCAUAGAGAUUCAGGACAACAAGACUGAAGUUCAUUUUUAAAGCAGAAGUUUAUAUAACAGAAGACGCAUGAAAUAUGAAGAGUUAGUGUCUGGAUCAGCAGUUCCUUCAGUCAAGUUGCCUUCCUAACCAUCUCAAAACACAAGAAUCCCAAAGUUCUUUGCAUGCAGGCUUCUUUUUGCCAUAGUUGAAGCAAACCUAGAAUCUUAGCUAAAAAGAAUCAGCAUUUUUAUCCAGGUUAUGGGUAAAGAAGCACAGCUAUUUAAUUGCCUGGUUUGAUAGCCAAUUUUCCUACAUUACUAGACGGAAACUGUAACAAUAAAAUUACUGAAGUCUAGUGAUACAAAAGAAGAAACUUGUUAUUUCACUUACUAAGGACAAAACCAACACUUACCUCCUUCCUCUUUUUCUGUGUCAUCAUAGAGCAGGUUUCUAACAUCAGAUUUUCAGUAGCUAAAACACAACUGCUUACAGCAGCAAAACAGACUGAACCUACAAUGGAAAAUUCACAAUUUCUUUACAAUGGGCAGGCAUUUAUCGUGUGCUUUCACAGCAUUAAUACUAGGUCAUUUUCAACCUUGGAAAACAAUUUUAACAGAGUAAUUUUACCAGUGGAUGAAGUUUUACAUAUAAACAGAGUUCAAAUAAAGAUACUAAGAAUGCCAGGUGAUAAGUAUAUUUAUGAAAACCAUAGACAUGCCUACACACCAAUUAUAGACUUAUUGAUGGGCAAUCAGUGAACCACUCUUCAUGAAGGUUAAAAAAAAAAUCACCUAAAAUUUUGUUAAUUUCAGUAGGUCAAGAGCUCAGAAAGAAUAGUUUUACAGUCAAGCAUGGAUGCUUUUAUAAAGUAAAGAAUUGAAAGGCUUAAAAAAUUAUGUGUCUUAUUAAACUAGCUUGAAACCCUCUAAUUUAAAAAUAGCAUUAAAAAAGAGCAAGAAUUUAACAAUGCUUGUGUAUACAUAACCCCCCCUUUGGAAACAAUU